AUGGUGGUAACGGGUAACGGGGAAUUAGGGUUCGAUUCCGGAGAGGGAGCCUGAGAAACGGCUACCACAUCCAAGGAAGGCAGCAGGCGCGCAAAUUACCCAAUCCCGACACGGGGAGGUAGUGACAAUAAAUAACAAUACGGGGCUCUUUAGGGUCUCGUAAUUGGAAUGAGUACAAUUUAAAUCCCUUAACGAGGAACAAUUGGAGGGCAAGUCUGGUGCCAGCAGCCGCGGUAAUUCCAGCUCCAAUAGCGUAUAUUAAAGUUGUUGCAGUUAAAAAGCUCGUAGUUGAAUUUCGGGAUUGGCGCAUCGGUCGUGCCUCACGGGGUAUGAACUGGUGCAGUCAAUUUCUCACCUUCUGGAGAACCGCGAUGUCCUUAAUUGGGUGCCGCGGGGAACCAGGACCUUUACUUUGAAAAAAUUAGAGUGUUUAAAGCAGGCAUUUCUGCUUGAAUACAUUAGCAUGGAAUAAUAAAAUAGGACGGCAUGGUUCUAUUUUGUUGGUUUCUAGGACCACCGUAAUGAUUAAUAGGGAUAGUUGGGGGCAUUAGUAUUCAAUUGUCAGAGGUGAAAUUCUUGGAUUUAUUGAAGACUAACUACUGCGAAAGCAUUUGCCAAGGAUGUUUUCAUUAAUCAAGAACGAAAGUUAGGGGAUCGAAGACGAUCAGAUACCGUCGUAGUCUUAACCAUAAACUAUGCCGA
rnacentral:rRNA from 1 species